CAAGACACUGUCCAACGGGACAAUUCCUCACAACACUGCCAACAACCUCACACAGGCUUUUCUCAAAAGUGUGGAAGAAGUCCUGUCCUCUCCUGGACUGCCAGAGCAGUCCACCCCGGUGGUCAGCAGUUUGAUCGAGACAGUGGACAGGGUGAUGGACCAUAUGGUGACAAACAUGGAGCCCACCUCGAGCGCCCUCUUUUCCCUGGGUGGAGCAUCUUCAGUCGCAGAUUACUCUCUGAUGAAAUUCUCACAGAACUUCAAUUUGCCAAAUUACCGUUUCCCCACACAAGGGAGGAGCUACAUCUCUGUGCCUGGGGAGGCGUUUGC